GAUGAACGCUGGCGGCAUGCCUAACACAUGCAAGUCGAACGGCAGCAUGAGACUAGCUUGCUAGUUUUGAUGGCGAGUGGCGCACGGGUGAGUAACGCGUAGGAAUAUAUCUUAAAGAGGGGGACAACUUGGGGAAACUCAAGCUAAUACCGCAUAAUCUCUUCGGAGCAAAGCUGGGGACCUUCGGGCCUGGCGCUUUAAGCAUAGCCUGCGUCCGAUUAGCUAGUUGGUAGGGUAAAGGCCUACCAAGGCGACGAUCGGUAGCUGGUCUGAGAGGAUGACCAGCCACACUGGGACUGAGACACGGCCCAGACUCCUACGGGAGGCUG
rnacentral:rRNA from 1 species